rnacentral:rRNA from 1 species
GCGACCCCAGGGAUGGGCGAGGCCACCCGCUGA